GUCUAAGGCCAUACCACCCUGAACGCGCCCGAUCUCGUCUGAUCUCGCAAGCUAAGCAGGGUUGGGCCUGGUGAGUACUUGGAUGGGAGAAAUAUCACAUUGUGAUUGAUA
ensembl:rRNA 5S_rRNA 5S ribosomal RNA